UCCUACAGGCAUACGAGAGAGGAAUUAACCC
rnacentral:piRNA from 1 species